UGCCCCCCUGUCAUCAGGCAAAGAGACACCUUGUUGGUGGCGUUAUUCUUACAUCUGGCAAGGGCAGAGCAGAUGGCAGUCCUUUGUUCAUUCUAGCUUGAUGUUUGGCUUGGUAGCCAAAGCUAUCUUAUGCCUAAGAUUCAUAA